CNUGAUUAAUAGGGAUAGUUGGGGGCAUUAGUAUUCAGUUGCUAGAGGUGAAAUUCUUGGAUUUACUGAAGACUAACUACUGCGAAAGCAUUUGCCAAGGAUGUUUUCAUUAAUCAAGAACGAAGGUUAGGGGAUCGAAAACGAUCAGAUACCGUUGUAGUCUUAACAGUAAACUAUGCCGACUAGGGAUCGGGCGAACUCAAAUCUAUGUGUCGCUCGGCACCUUACGAGAAAUCAAAGUCUUCGGGUUCUGGGGGGAGUAUGGUCGCAAGGCUGAAACUUAAAGGAAUUGACGGAAGGGCACCACCAGGAGUGGAGCCUGCGGCUUAAUUUGACUCAACACGGGGAAACUCACCAGGUCCAGACAUGACUAGGAUUGACAGAUUGAUAGCUCUUUCAUGAUUUUAUGGGUGGUGGUGCAUGGCCGUUCCUAAUUGGUGGAAGUGAUUUGUCUGGUCACUUCCCGAUAACGAACGAGAGCUUAUCCUGCUAAAUAGCCAGGCCGGCUUUUGCUGGUCGCCGGCUUCUUUUUGAGGGACUGGAGGUUGCCCCUACCCCGGCUAACUUUGAGGCAAUAACAGGUCUGUGAUGCCCUUAGAUGUUUUGGGCCGCACGCGCGCUACACUGACAGAGCCAGCGAGUUUUUCACCUUGGCCGGAAGGUCUGUUUAACAUGAAUAACC
rnacentral:rRNA from 1 species